GACAGAGGGUGCAAACGUUGUUCGGAAUUACUGGGCGUAAAGGGUUCGUAGGUGGCUUGCUUAGUCAGACGUGAAAUCCCUCGGCUUAACCGGGGAACUGCGUCUGAUACUGGCGAGCUUGAGUGCAGGAGAGGAACGCGGAAUUCCUGGUGUAGCGGUGAAAUGCGCAGAUAUCAGGAGGAACACCGAUGGCGAAGGCAGCUCGCUGGGAUGGUACUGACGCUGAGACGCGAAAGCGUGGGGAGCAAACAGG
rnacentral:rRNA from 1 species